AAUUCCUACGGGACGCAGCAGUGGGGAAUAUUGCACAAUGGGGGGAACCCUGAUGCGGCGACGCCGCGUGGGUGAAGGAGUAUGUCGGUAUGUAAAGUCCUAUCAGCAGGGAAGAACAAUGACGGUACCUAACUAAGAAGCACCGGCUAAAUACGUGCCAGCAGCCGCGGUAAUACGUAUGGUGCAAGCGUUAUCCGGAUUUACUGGGUGUAAAGGGAGCGCAGGCGGCGCGUUAAGCCUGGUGUGAAAGCCCGCGGCCCAACCGCGGGACUGCAUUGGGAACUGGCGCGCUGGAGUGCCGGGGG
rnacentral:rRNA from 1 species